CCCUCAGAGCUCCCUCUCUGGUGCUGGGGAUCGUCCGUCCUCCGCGGCGGCCGGCCCCUAAAUGAAGUGGCGGUCUCGUCCGUGACCUCCUCUGUGUAGUAGUGAUACCUCGCAGCUGGAUAGCGACCUGGCCACGCCGUAAAACACCCCCAAUUUUUAUGGUUGACCUCGAAUCAGGUAGGAAUACCCGCUGAACUUAA
rnacentral:misc_RNA from 1 species